GAGGGUGGGGGUGGGGAAGGGAGAGAACUGUGGGGGAGUACACCGUUUAUCGUGACGUGGGCUUCGCUCACACGCAUGUGACCUGUCGAGCUGGAGUUUCGACAUUUCGCAGUUUAAAUGUUGAGGCGGCCAGGCAAGGACCGGGAGGAAGCAGUGAAGAAGCAGGGCAGCAUUACUGUGAAGGGGUCCGCUGUUUGCUGAGGAACAGGACAUUUCUGCGGUCCUUGUGCAGGCUCUCCCGACAAGCCAGUGGAGUUUUCUGAAUCAAGCUGUCCUCUCCUCCGUCGCUGUCGGCCAUCUUGCUCCCCCGUCACACGCGCCUUGUCGACCCUCCGCUCGCUCUCGGGCGUGUGAUUCCAAACGUUGUGCCUUGAAAGAUGGCGGGAAUGGCAGAGGAGUUCAUGACUAACUGGCAGUCGAAGUUUUUCCGUGAUAGGAUCAUCAGCCAAAUACAGAGCGUCAAGAAGAACUGCAGACUGAAUCCACACUCUGAAGACCAAAUGGAGCAGUUCCUUGAACAGAACACACCAGAGCAGCUGGAGGAAUUCAUCUUCAAACAGUCCAAGACUCGGGAAGAUUAUCUGUCAUUAACAGCAGAUCUUCUUCUCCAUGCAAGACAGGCAAAUGCGAGAGCAGAUUAUGAAGGUUAUGACGGUCAAGACGAUUCUGAAAGCCCGCAAGCUUCAAAACAAGCAGAGGGGGGAUCUGAUGGUGCUACUCCCAAUGGUGAUGCUAAAAAAUCAUAAUGAUAUCAACCUGCUCUACUUUCUUACCAUGAGACUGCCAGUAAGCUUACAAGUACUUCAUCUGAUUUUAUCCAGUUUCAUUUACGAAUCAGCUUCAUCAACAAGCAGAGUCUGCAGAGUGUCAAACCCUGAGUGUUGAACUAUGUUGGCAUCAUUUUGAUUGUUAAUAACCUCCUUUUAUUUGUUUUAUUUUUGUUUUUUGAAAUGAAGGACUGCUGUUGUCAGUGCUAUUUUUGGACUAAAAAGGUGAGGGAUAGGGGUGGGAAAAGUUGGGGUUGUCAUGGAAAAAAGCUAAAUUAUUCUUUUGUAGCAACAAUAAUAGAUCUCUGCAAAAUAAAAUCAUUUUGUUUCAAAACCUAAAUCUGUAUUAUGCUGUUAUUUUUGUCUGAUUUACUGAGCUUAAAAAAUAAUGGCCUGCCAAAAUAGAAAAAUAGUUAAAACAGGACAAGGUUUUAAAGGUAACUGGAGUGUAUGAACAAAUAUAAGUUGGAAUCCUUUAAGGGUUUUCAGCAUGUUUAGUCCAAAAGCGUUGACAUUGUAAGGGAGACUAGCUUGAGAGCUCCAUGUAACAAAGGGAGGUAAGAUGGAACAUCAACACAUGCACAUCGGAUAAUACUUCAGACAACUAUUUUUUUAAUCUAUCCAAGCCAGCCACCACUGUUAUUGCAUGUGCCAUAAGAGCAUCCCAGGAAAGGAAGUUUUCUGUAUUUGAUGGUGUCCAUCUGUGGUUCUGGUGUUUCUUGACAUCCUAAAAAUUAGCUUUAUGUAUCAAAUAUGCCAUGAACAUCUCAGCUGAUGUGAGAAGUCCUAGGUAGGGGCAAAAUAAUUCAUAGAAGGAAGCACUAUGUGCAGGAUUUAUGUCUUUAGAGCUUGCUCUGUCAGUUACCAUAGGUAAACUGCAUAAUAUCUGUGGAUUUGGCGAGGUUUAUUAUGGAUGUUCCCGUUUACAAAACGAUCAAUUAACAUGCAUCUGAGGUUCUAGCAGGACAGCUUGGCAACAUCUUCCAGAUUUUGGUGUGGCAUUCCGUUUCGUUUCUGCCUAAAAAAAAUCUGGAUCAAGAUGUUCUUUUCUGUGGCAUCAAGACAUUCCAUCUCCCUCCACAUAAGCUGUAAGUGGUGGUGAGCCAUAUUGUAACUUGGGGAACAAGUUGAAGUUUCUUUACCUCCUCAGCAGACUUGGUGUUUUGGAUGUUCAUAUCCAUGAGGCUUUAUUCAUGGUUGGUGGGUGUUACAUGUGAUGCAUGCUUUGUUUUUGUUUUGCCCAAUUUCAAUAUACGAGCAGUUUUUCUCCAUGAAGACAAAGGGCAGAUGAAAGUUUUAAGAACACUCAAAACUGGUUUCAUAAAAGCUGACUAAACCACAGAGUAACUUGUGUGAAGCUUUUUUCUAUCCCAUCUUCUGGCUGCUUGUGCAUUGUAAAUAUUUCUCUACUUGCUGUUGUCAUUGAAGUAUUCCCACACCUAUUUCACUUAAACAUGCUCUCUCCAGUUCAUUUUCACUGAGUGUGAAAAGCAACAUUAAUCAUAUCAGGCUUUGAAAUACAUAGACCAUGGAUGUUAUUUUAAAAUAGCAAUAGUUAUUUUAUAACAUCUGGCAUGAGGUCAGGGAAGUAAACAUUAAAAAUAAUUAUUGUAACAGGAGCUUGAGAUUUAUUCUCACAGGCUUACUCAGAUCACAAUUAAAAGGAUAAUGCCUUUUAAAAAAUGUGGAAAGAUUCUCGUUUUCAGAGGGCUAGGGAUUGCUUGUUACGAUGACACUGUAGAUUAUUAUUAGUGUUAAUUGUGAUCAACUACUAUUGUAAUACACUUGUCAUGUUGCAAUAUAGUUGAUAAUUAUAUAAUGAGGUUAUAUAAAAAUAUACGUUCAAAUUUCAUGUAGAACAAAUCUCCUUGUCAUCACUUGACUACAACGAAUCUUUUUCCUGACCCUGGAAAGUCAUGUUACCCCUAUGUUGCUAUGCUUCAGCAUCCAUAAGCUUGGUGUCCAGAAUAUGAAAUAUUCGUCAGGCACAUUUCCCCCACUUUUGUCAGAGGUGCAAACUGGGUAUAGUGCCUGGUAGGACCACGCACAAUUUGGAGAGCAUUUUU